CUGCAUUGCACCGCCAUGAUGGGCCAUAGUCCCAUACUUGUGCUUAGCCAGAACACAAAGGGUGAAUCUGGAAGAGAGUUCAGUCUGGAAACAUCAAUGCUGCUAAGACUAUUGCAGAUAUCAUCCGAACACAUUUGUCCAUGAUGAAGAUGCUUUGGGACCCAAUGGGAGGCAUUGUGAUGACCAAUGAUGGCAAUACCAUUCUUUGAGAGAUUCAAGUCCAGCAUCCAGCAGCCAAAUCAAUGAUUGAAAUUAACCAGAUGUAAGAUGAAGAAGUUGGAGAUGGGACCACAUCAGUAAUUAUUCUUGUGGGGGAAAUGUUAUCUGUGGCUGAGCAUUUCCUAGAACAUCAGAUGCAUCCAACAGUGGUGAUCAGUGCUUACCACAAAGCAUUGGAUGAUAUGAUCAACACUUUAAAGAAAAUCAGUACCCCUGUUGACAUCAAUAACCGUGACGUCAUGCUGAACAUCAUUAACAGCUUCGUUACUACCAAAGCCAUCAGCUGGUGGUCUUCUCUGGUGUGCAACAUUGCCCUGGAUGCUGUCAAGACUGUACAGUAUGAGGAGAAUGGUCAGAAGCAGAUUGACAUCAAAACAUAUGCAAGGGUGGAAAAGAUACCUGGGGGUAUCAUUGAAGACUCAUGUGUCUUCUGUGGAGUCAUGAUUAAGAAGGAUGUGACCCAUCCACGAAUGCGGUGCUACAUCAAGAACCCUCGGAUUGUGCUGUUGGACUCUUCCCUGGAAUACAAGAAAGGGGAAAGCCAGACUGACAUUAAGAUUACACGAGAGGAAGACUUUACCCGAAUCCUCCAGAUGGAAGAAGAGUAUAUCUAGCAGCUCUGUGAGGACAUUAUCCAGCUAAAGCCUGAUGUGGUCAUCACAGAAAAGGGCAUCUCGGAUUUAGCUCAGCACUACCUCAUGUGGGCCAAUAUCACAGCCAUCUGUAGAGUCCAGAAGACAGACAAUAAUCACAUUGCUAGAGCCUGGGGGGCCCAGAUAGCCGACCAGAGGAACUGAGAGAGGAUGAUGUUGGAAUAGGAGCAGGCUUGUUAGAAAUCAAGAAAACUGGAGAGAAGUACUUUACAUUCAUCACUAAGUGCAAAGACCCCAAGGCCUACAGCAUUCUCCUCUGGGGAGCCAGCAAAGAGAUUCUUUCAGAAGUGGAACCCAACCACUAGGACGCCAUGCAAGAGUGUCGCAAGGUUCUUCUGGACCCUCAGCUGGUGCCAGGGGGUAGAGCCUCUGAGAUGGCUGUGGCCCAUGCCUUGACAGAGAAAUCUAAGGCCAUGACUGGUGUGGAACAGUUGCCAUAUAGUGUUGUUGCACAGGCACUAGAGGUCAUCCCUCAUACCCUGAUCCAGAACUGUGGAGCUGGCACUAUCCAUCUGCUUACCUCCCUUUGUGCCAAGCAUACCCAGGAGAACUGUGAGACUUGGGGCGUAAAUGGUGAAACCGGAACUUUGGUGGACAUAAAAGAACUAGGCAUAUGGGAGCCAUUGGCCGUGAAGCUGCAGACAUAUAAGACAGCAGUAGAGACGGCAGUUCUGCUACUACGGAUUGAUGACAUCAUCUCAGGCCACAAAAAGAAGGGCGAUGACCAGAGCCACCAAGGUGGGGCUCCUGAUGCUGGCCAGGAGUGAGUGCUGGCAAA